rnacentral:rRNA from 1 species
GAUGAACGCUGGCGGCGUGCUUAACACAUGCAAGUCGAACGAAGCAUUUAAGACAGAUUACUUCGGUUUGAAGUCUUUUAUGACUGAGUGGCGGACGGGUGAGUAACGCGUGGGUAACCUGCCUCAUACAGGGGGAUAGCAGCUGGAAACGGCUGGUAAUACCGCAUAAGCGCACGGUAUCGCAUGAUACAGUGUGAAAAACUCCGGUGGUAUGAGAUGGACCCGCGUCUGAUUAGCUAGUUGGUGGGGUAACGGCCUACCAAGGCGACGAUCAGUAGCCGACCUGAGAGGGUGACCGGCCACAUUGGGACUGAGACACGGCCCAGACUCCUACGGGAGGCAGCAGUGGGGAAUAUUGCACAAUGGAGGAAACUCUGAUGCAGCGACGCCGCGUGAGUGAAGAAGUAGUUCGCUAUGUAAAGCUCUAUCAGCAGGGAAGAUAGUGACG